AGAACACUAGUCAAGCCAUUGGACAACACGUCAGGAUAUACUUUUUCUUUCUUUACUUCUUUCUUAAAAAAUCCCAAAUUCACUUGAGUUCUAAAAACCCUAUUGUGAAGAUGAACCAUUUCCACCCACUGUGACGGUGGCUGAGAACCAUUAAAGGGGAAAUCUGCAUAACUCUCACCUCAAAUUUAUCAAUAAUCUUCUUCUCUCGGUUCCCAUUGUGACGACGCAAAAGAGUGAAGUUCGUGACACGAAACGGAGCAAAAUAGUCAACUUCUAAAUCUGCAAUCACAUUGAUCGUUCAGAUUGAUUUGAUUCACCAGAUUCGCCGUCGUAUAUGUUCUUGCGACAACACUGAAUCUUCCUCUGCGAGAAGAUUUGCGACACUUCUGUCUUCAAAGGUACUUAUGGAUACUGAUAGUGAUAGUGAUGAUGAGGUAUCAUCCGAUGAUAUUGAUGGCUUACUAUUUGAGAUGUUUAAAGAUGUCACUGAAGCGGAUGGGAUACAUGAAGGGCUAAAUGAAGAUGUAAAGAAAUUUUAUAAACUAGUUGAUGAUGCAAAUCAAGAGCCAUAUCCUGGUUGUAUCCUAGUUGAUGAUGCAAAUUUUAUAAACUGAAAGAGUAGUGUCUGACUUAAGGCUCUUCUUAGGAACAUUGGCUAGGAACUCAUCAUUUUGUCCUCUAAUUUACACAAAUUGUGGAAGUUUAUCUUGCCAAAUGAAGCACAAGAUUGGGUUGACACUACUGUUAAAGAUGCAUGGAGAAGAUAUAAACACAAAAUUAAGAAGAAUCAUUUUUUUAAGUAUUCCAACAUGACUGAGAGACUUAAACAUCGUCAUCCAAAGAUGCUAGAAGUUCAUUUUAAGAAGCUUUGUGAAUACUGGAGUUUGAAGCCUAUACAAUCAACAAAAGUGGAGGCAUGAGAUGGGUCUCAAAAACUUUGCGUUACUUCGUGAAAAAUGCGUGCAAAGGAAGGAAAAGAGCCCACCCAAGCAGAAGUUUUUUUUGAAACUCGGAAAGGAAAUAAAGGAAAGAAAUUGGAUGUAGAAACUGAGAAAGCAAUUGCCAAACUUCAAGAAAUGGUUGAAAUUGAGGAAAAUGAUACAGAAGCAUUUGAAGUUGUUUUUGGGAAGGAGCAUACUGGCAUUUCAAGAAGAUGCAUUUUCGCAUUAAUUUCUCCAUUGGCAACUGAUUUGGAUGGUUUUGUUUGCUAGGCGCAUACUUGAAGUGUUAAAUUUCAUCUAUGUGACAUUUUGUUUACCAUAUGCGUCAAAGUAUCAAACUACGAUAGAUAUUUUGUCUACUAUUUUGUAUUUGACUUUUAACACGUUACGUUUCUCUAUCAAUUUUUUAUUUGGCACAUUAUAUAUCUUUGUUAAAUUAUAUGGCUAAUCAAAGAGCUGAUUUGAAA